GACGAACGCUGGCGGCAUGCCUUACACAUGCAAGUCGAACGGCAGCACGGGUGCUUGCACCUGGUGGCGAGUGGCGAACGGGUGAGUAAUAUAUCGGAACGUACAUUAUUGUGGGGGAUAACGCAGCGAAAGCUGUGCUAAUACCGCAUAAUCCCUAAGGGGGAAAGCGGGGGACCGUAAGGCCUCGCGCAAUUAGAGCGGCCGUUACCUGAUUAGCUAGUUGGUGAGGUAAAGGCUCACCAAGACAACGAUCAGUAGCUGGUCUGAGAGGACGAGCAGCCACACGGGGACUGAGACACGGCCCAGACUCCUACGGGAGGCAUCAGUGGUGAAUUUUGGACAAUGGUGGCAACCCUGAUACAGCAAGGCCGCGUGAGUGAAGAAGGCCUUCGGGUUGUAAGGCUCUUUUGGCAGAGAAGAAACAGCAGCUCUAACACAGUUUGCGAAUGACGGUACCUGAAGAAUAAGCACCGGCUAACUACGUGCCAGCCGCCGCAGUAA
rnacentral:rRNA from 1 species